rnacentral:rRNA from 1 species
AUUGAACGCUGGCGGCAGGCCUAACACAUGCAAGUCGAACGGUAGCAGGAAGCAGCUUGCUGCUUUGCUGACGAGUGGCGGACGGGUGAGUAAUGUCUGGGAAACUGCCCGAUGGAGGGGGAUAACUACUGGAAACGGUAGCUAAUACCGCAUAACGUCGCAAGACCAAAGAGGGGGACCUUAGGGCCUCUUGCCAUCGGAUGUGCCCAGAUGGGAUUAGCUAGUAGGUGGGGUAACGGCUCACCUAGGCGACGAUCCCUAGCUGGUCUGAGAGGCUGACCAGCCACACUGGAACUGAGACACGGUCCAGACUCCUACGGGAGGCAGCAGUGGGGAAUAUUGCACAAUGGGCGCAAGCCUGAUGCAGCCAUGCCGCGUGUAUGAAGAAGGCCUUCGGGUUGUAAAGUACUUUCAGCGGGGAGGAAGGGAGUAAAGUUAAUACCUUUGCUCAUUGACGUUACCCGCAGAAGAAGCACCGGCUAACUCCGUG